rnacentral:tRNA from 1 species
GCGGAUAUGGUGAAAUUGGUAGACACGCCAGACUUAGGAUCUGGUGCCGCGAGGCAUGAAAGUUCGAGUCUUUUUAUCCGCACCA